rnacentral:rRNA from 1 species
UACAGAGGUCUCAAGCGUUGUUCGGAAUUACUGGGCGUAAAGGGCUCGUAGGCGGCCAACUAAGUCAGACGUGAAAUCCCUCGGCUUAACCGGGGAACUGCGUCUGAUACUGGAUGGCUUGAGUUUGGGAGAGGGAUGCGGAAUUCCAGGUGUAGCGGUGAAAUGCGUAGAUAUCUGGGGGAACACCGGUGGCGAAGGCGGCAUCCUGGACCAACACUGACGCUGAGGAGCGAAAGCCAGGGGAGCAAAGCGGG